rnacentral:lncRNA from 11 species
UCCUGAUCUGACCUUCAGCUGCAUGUUUGUGUCUGCAAGAAGUAGACAGGGAAUUCAGGGGGAGUUUUCUGCAUUGCUUGAAUGUAAACAGGAUUCCUGCUUGUGAGUAAGGGAUUGUCUCCUUUUUUUCUAAACUGCAUAGAAGUAGAAAAUGUGGGGCUCCGUUCUGGAGUUGCUUCUUAUUUUGAAACAUCAGGUUCCAAACCCUAGCUGUAAAAAGUCUAUUUUAAGAAUGCACAUGAAUGACCAGAACACCCAAGAAUUUCCCUCUCUGGAAAUCCCUCCAGACCAGCCUUAUUUGAGAUGGAUUCCCAUUUUGUGCUCCCGCCCGAAACGAAAGGAAUGAAAGAACGGAUGAAACAGGAAAAACGGGUGCCGAGCUGAAGGGAGAAGUGGGAGGAAGAGAGAGAAACUUUUUAGAAGCAGUUGAAAAAAGCCUCAUGCCUGAUUAACUGGAACUGCAUCUGCCAAACUAGGAUAGUUGGAGAACAUAUUACAGUGCCCAUCAUCCAUAUCUAAUUCAGUUUAUUGGCUACUUGGAAAGAUCAGAAAAUUAUUUCAAAGCUAGAAACAGGUUAGAUGUGUCAAGGAAAAUGCUCUUGGGGUCUGGUCAUCAUUGCACAUGAACUUCAUAGAAGUACCAUUGGAUUUUGGAUCUUUCUCACACCAUAAAUGCAUGACCAACAUCAUGUCUGUUCUAACUAUCAAAGAGAAACAUCUCUUGCCUUAACACAUGGUAUUAUUUGGAUUGUUGUAAUUUUAGUAUAACAAACCAGGAAUACAAUCUUAAUAAUUCAUUAAAAACAAAAUAAAACAUCAUAAAAAGUAUGGAUUUUUAUUAUAAAAAGUGUUUCC